AGCUGUAGGAGGAGGAGCUAGAGACACAGCCGUUCUGAGAUGACACAAAAGCUGUUUACAGCGCGUGGCGCGGUGUCGGGAACCCCGGGCUCUAUAAGGUCAGGGUAGUUGUGGGGCUUCAAGGGCGGCAGUUUCGGCUAGGCCCGAGAAAAAGCCCCAGUGCGGCAGGAAGCUACGUGGGAAGGGGCUCAUUAGCAAAAGAUGAAGUUAACCAAGUGUGCCUGCCAUCUAUUGUUCUGAAGGAAAGAAAUCACAAGUUGCCCUGUUCAUACUAUCACAAAAGAUAAAAUUUAGAUAUUUCAGGAAGGGAAAAUAACAUAUUUUGUUUGCAAGAUUCCUGGUAGAACUCUCUCUUUGCCCAGAACUGAUACAUACUUGCUGAUUAAUGUCCUGCCUAGUGAAUCUGCCUUGGGGAAGAGUUGUGAUUGGUUGUCACCAACUCCCAUCAUUUCUGCCC